AGUUAAGUUGAGUUGAGUUGAGUAGUAUUGUUGUUAUUUACCAGCACUACCACUACCACUGCUAUAGCUGUCACCAUCAAUACUAGACAUUACUACCACAGCCAUCAUAAUCACCACUACAAACAUCAUUUUUCACCACCAUUACUCAUCAUAAAGACUUUAUCCCAAUGAAUUCAUUUUUUUUUCAAUUGAAUUUUAAUUAUUC
rnacentral:misc_RNA from 1 species